AACGGGUAUAGGAUUAAUUACACAGGAUUAAAAGGGAAGAUAUUAAUUGUUUGCUCUUCAUCUACAUAUUGUGGGAAAGGGGAAAAAUUUCUGCAAACAUUCUCCCAUUAACAUUUCAUUAUUUUUAUGGAGCAAAUGAUGUAACAAAACGGGUAAACGUUAAACGAUGGAUCGAAAUUCCUGUAAAAUUAAUUUGGCGAAAGAAGUUUAUAGAACAAUGGUUUUAAUUCCUUAGAAAAUAACGAACAGUAUUAUUUCGUUUGGAUAUAUUCUCAUUGUAUAAGAGAAUUCGUCGUAAAAAAAUUUACAAUCGUUCGAAAAAUAAAAAAUACAAGAUCUAAAUUUAUUCAGAUCUGACGAAUUAUAAAAUUUAUUUCAUUUAAAAAAAAUUACUUUAUUCGAGUCUCAUCUUUGAACUCGUAAUUACAAACAGACUGGAAAUAAAUUGAUGUCAAAUAUUAAAUUUAACGCGUAAUUACUACACGCAUCUCGACAAAUUAAUUUUAAUUGCCUUCUAACGCGAUACAUUUAAGAUACUUGAAUCACGUUUUGGUUCGAAAGUGCGCAUACGCACAGUUAAAAAUCACUUUCAACCAGAAUUCGAAAUUAAACUUCUCCACUCCUCCUUUAUAACCAACUUUUUUACACACCGUUGUAACUCAAUCUUUUUUCCAAAAAAAUCCAGAGUAUACUUCAUAGAGAAAAAAAAGUUGCUUGCUAAUACAUAAUUCCAUCGAAUUCUUCUCACUUUCUCGCCUCGUCCGAUAAACCAAUCCAACAAAUCCAUUGUACAAAUGAUAACUCAACACGAAUAUUCGCCAAUUAUCACCGACAUUUUUUACAACGAUUACUCGUUCGACAUUCAAUAGUCAGAUUUUUUUAUUAUUUCUUGCUCGUUUCAACGACAACCAUUCAUGCUCAUUCGUUUCAAAGCGAAGCACAAGUGAAUGCACCGAUUCAAGUCAGCAAUCCGAUACAAAUCGCUGAUCUCACGAUACACCGUAAUAAUAAGUACAAAGAGCGGGAUAGAUAGAUAGAUAACGACGAUAAACGAUAACAUCGAAUAAAUAUUGGUUCGAAUAAUCCGUCACUUGGCUUGAUGUGAAUUAUCCCCCUCCCCCUCCCCACCCUCGCGUUAAGAGCGAAAUUAAACAAGUUCUCCAUCUAUGUACAGUAUAGUAUCGACAUCCAGCUGACAAACGGCUCGUUAUUCAAUCAUAGAAAACCGCAUCAAAGUUGGCGUACGUACGUGGAGAGCAACGACCGGUUAACAAUCGUACCCGCGGCUCGGAUAAUCGUUGAAUUGGAUCGUCGAUCGGUCGUCGGGCUUCCCGGACGCUUCUCAGAAAACUCGACUGCUCGUUCAACCGGCGAAAACGCAUCGUACCAAUAACCUCGGCGUGUGCACGUCCGGUACCGUGGUAACCACGCUUGCUCCGAGCAAGUAAUCACGCUCACGCGUGGGUGAUCGGACCACGUGUCCAACACAUUGACGCAGGCUACGCGAUUCCACAAUGGGGCUAUUAACUCUAUGUAAUAGUAAUACGCUUGGGGUCCUUGAUUUUAUUUCGGUUUAAAGACGCUCGUUUAACGAAAACGAAAUUAAAUUCUGAUAUCGAUUAUCGGGUAGGUAUAAUUAUAUAUUUGGUCAACGAAAUGAUGUAUCGGGGUUAUUGUAAAAAUUGUAUAAUUUUUUUGAAUAUGUAAUUAUAUAGGUUAAAACCGUAUAUCUGAAUAAAAAGGUAUAUCUGAAUAAACACGGGAGGAAGACACGCUAUUUCAUAAAUAUUUAUAUUUAAUGAGCGUUCAUUAAUUUCACGAUAUACUUUCCAAAAAAUGUUAUUAAUUGAUUAUUAAUUAAAAAGAUACAAUUUUAUUUUCUAUCAUAAAUUGGUAUAUCGAUAUCAAUACAUCAUAGACUAUGUGUAUUAUUAAAUCUACCUGGCACAUCAUAAUUUUAAAACCCAGAUUGCAAAUCAAUUAUUAAAAAAGUUAAAUUUGCAAGUCAUGAAAGAAUAUUAUACUAUAAUAUCACGUUAACGAAGACUUAAUUACACAUCAGGAAUUAACAUAAUUAUAAGUAUACAUUUAGCUACACUUUUGCGCAAAAGUCUUAAUCUUUUUAUUUGAAAAAAAAGAUGAAUAUAAACGUUUAUUUCAUAAAUUCCUUAUUCUAAAGUGGUACGUAACAUUCUUACAUUAAGCCAAUAACAUCUCAACUUCUUAAACAGGGAAAAAUCUUUCCUAAUUAUUCCUUCAUUAUAAUCUCAUAAACAUAUUUUUCUAUUCUCUAAAAGAAAAUACAUAGAUAUUUUUUUCUUUCAUCUACUUUGGAAUACAUAUAUCGAUUCUUUAAACCAUUGAACGAAUUAUUAUCAAAACCAAUAAAGACACUCAAAGGGUUAAGACAAUUUAUGCGCAAGACAGAGGAUUCGAGUCGAAUCGAUGGAUCGAUCCACGUCGAGUGUUGCACGAUUCGCGCGGUAAAUUCUCUCCGUACACGUGGGUGGCGGAUUAGGCGGGAAGAUAGCGUGGCGGUGAUCCGUAAAAGGCGCCGACAAAGUCGCGUGCCCGGGAGAAACGUGAUGAAAGCGAUACCGGGUGGAUCCGGCGGAAGCGCGCCACUUCGCCUUCUGUUGUUCUCCUGUGUCUGGCGAAUCUGCGGCCAGAGAAACAAGGCGACGGGGAGGUAUAUAGAUAGCUUUGUGGGAAUAAAGAACGGUAAAAGAGUGCACCGAGUUUUUGUUAACCGAAUCCUUUGAUGGAAAAGAGUUUGGUGUCUGGUUUUAAUUCGAAGGGUAAUAUCAAAGUCGUUUCCACGAGGAAUAACUUUGAAAAAGUUAGUCUUUGCGUCUUCUCUUUUGUGGUGGAAGAACUGUGUCGAAUUGUGUGAUUUUAAUUUUGCACAUGGGCAAUAUCGAAUCGUUGCACGAAGAAUAAUUUCGAAAGGUAUCUCUGUGAUCAAAUUAAUUUUUUUUUUCGAUGGAGGAGACUUUGAUCGAGUAUUUGUUUUGGAUAAUAUCGUUGCUCGAGGAAUAAGGAAAAGAAUUUUGAAAUUCAAAUUGCAAAAUAAGAGAUAAGCUGUGACCUCAUAAGACGAAGUGGAUUGAAAUUAUUAUAUUAAACGGCCGUGAGGAAUGUCAUUUGUAAAUUUCAAAGAGUAUUCGUAGGUGGAUAGAAAAUUCAGUGAAUACUUGAUUCAUAUUUCAUUAUUGACAUAGAUACGAAAUAUGUGGCGAAUUAAUUUACGUAGGAAGUAGAGUAAGAAAUAUGAUGAUGAAGAAAUAACAAAAUAUAAAAGGAACAUUUCGUAUAAUUCAAUCUUCGAAAUGUUAAAAAAAUUUUUUUGUUUCAUUUAAUUUUAUAUAAUGAUAUACGAUCUGAAAUAUUAUUGAACGUUAUUGAGAUUGAUCGAUCAGGUAAUUAGAAAAGUGUCGGUUGGGAAGGCAAGCUUCUUGAAGAAUUACACGCCUGCUCUAAUUAAGGGUUUUCCUUCUUCGCAAGGGUAGUGAAAAGAUGCUUUUAAAAAAUCAGCACGGUGAAUGCAACGAGCGAACUGGACCGCAUCAACGAAACGUUUCCUUGUUGAAAUUCUCGGCUUUGUGCCGACUUUCAUACAAGAAACUUCUUCUACACAGACGAUAUAUAAAGUAAACUCACAGCGAUGAAUGUACAGGUCAAAUAUGAAAAUUUUAAAACACGUAAGUUGUUCGGUAUUCGACGACAAUUAUAGCGUAAGUCGAUCCAUUUUUCGUAGGAGAAAAAUAUUUCUUUAACUUUAACUUUUCAUUAAAUAUUAAUUUUAAUAUUUUUAAUAUUUUUUUACAAUUAUUCGUAAAAUAUUGAGAAUUAUCAAGUCUAAAAACGGUGAUAAAAAUUUGAAACGAUCUAGGGAAAACGUGAUUUGAAUAAUAAAAGAAUUACUUGUAAAACACCCGAUCGUAGGAGUUGAUGUUUUAACCAUGUUGACUGGUUGCUAACUCGAUUCUUAAUAUAUUCACCUUCUAAAGAUCUGGGGAAUCUCUUCACGAGACAAAAGAAGAACUCGCUGCGUAUGAAUAAAAGUUAAAUGAAAGUACGAAAGUUGAUUCAAGAAGAUGUCUCUUUAAGACGAAAAAAAUAAAUCUUUAAGAUUCGCUAUCGAUUCCUUUAAAAUCUUAAACAAUUAAACCUGCAAUUAAAAAAAUUAAAUCGUUUAAUUUAACACAAAGCAUUCGAUUUAAUUCCGUUCCAAAUCCAAUUUAAUUUUACACGAUAAAUUUCAGAAAUCAAAAUGUUUAAUAGU
rnacentral:lncRNA from 1 species